GGGCCCGCACAAGCAGCGGAGCAUGUGGUUUAAUUCGAAGCAACGCGAAGAACCUUACCUAGACUUGACAUCUCCUGAAUUACCGGUAAUGCGGGAAGCCCUUCGGGGCAGGAAGACAGGUGGUGCAUGGUUGUCGUCAGCUCGUGUCGUGAGAUGUUGGGUUAAGUCCCGCAACGAGCGCAACCCUUGUCGUUAGUUGCUACCAUUAAGUUGAGCACUCUAGCGAGACUGCCGCGGUUAACGCGGAGGAAGGUGGGGAUGACGUCAAAUCAUCAUGCCCCUUAUGUCUAGGGCUACACACGUGCUACAAUGGUCGGUACAAAAAGACGCAAAACCGUGAGGUGGAGCAAAACUUUAAAACCGAUCCCAGUUCGGAUUGUAGGCUGCAACUCGCCUACAUGAAGCCGGAGUUGCUAGUAAUCGCAAAUCAGAAUGUUGCGGUGAAUACGUUCCCGGGCCUUGUACACACCGCCCGUCACACCAUGAGAGUUGCCAACACCCGAAGUCCGUGAGCUAACCUUUUGGAGGCAGCGGCCGAAGGUGGGGGUAGCGAUUGGGGUGAAGUCGUAACAAGGUAGCCGUAGGAGAACCUGCGGCU
rnacentral:rRNA from 1 species